UNCAUAAUGCUGAAGCAGCGUUGGGUAGG
rnacentral:piRNA from 1 species